UCAAGUGGGAGAAAGGCAGUUAUUUGGUUGGAGAGCAUAAGGUCCCUGUGUGAUCAAAGGCACUGUGGAAUCAGUGUGAAGGGUGGAUUUAAGUGGGGUAAUGCUAGAGGCAAGGGAGGAAGGCUUAAAAGGUCACUUCAAUCAUCUAGGCAAGAAUGACUGAGGGCCUAAGGAAGUAGGUUCUUUCUGAAGGCUACUAUGAAAUAGACCUGUAAGAUGUUAAAGAGGCACAAUUUACAGGGGACAGGGAAAAGGACCCAUCUACAAAGCUUCAGAUAUCUGACUUACAAAUUCUCUGCUUUUCCUUUCCAUCAUUCAUUACAGUCAUAAGUAGUCUUCUCUAGGCCAGGAUAACUCUGCCCUGCUUGGGUUUAGAAUAUGCGAUGGGCAUGUCCUGCAGUCACAAUCCUAGAUGAUGGCCCUAUGAAGACCAGUCAUCGUUAAGGUCUCAGGACAGCAGGUGGUAUGUGCUGUACCUUCGGCAAGGAGUACUUGGGCAGCUUGAUCUGAGCAAAGGCCUCUCUUCGAUAGGAUACAUAGUAGCUGGCUCUUCCACCGGUAGUUACCUGGAUUGGGAAAAACACAAAAGAGAUCAGAUGGGAUCACAGAUCAUGGCACUAUUGGAAAGUACUAGCCUCUCCAUCAACAACCACAAUAGGUUUAAUUGGGCUCCUGGCCAGUGAAAAUGAUUCCUUUGGACAAAUGCAUUGACCAUUAAACACAUCUGUCUCUUCUGACUUGUUCUCGCUUUCACCGUGACCAAGACUAACCUGACAUAGCCUUUAUUUUUUUUUUCAUUCAUCCUAUUUCUGAAUGAUGGCUCCACCAUGGAAAAUAAAGAAAAAUAUGCCUGAAAACUGAAA